UUUCUUUUUCACUUUUUUUCCCCCUUUUAUCAUUCAAUCGGUGGCUAUUUAUUUUUGUUAGCUAUUAUUAGGCUUGAUUAAUGGAUUUGAUGUGAUUAGCUUAGUUCCGGGUUUGCUUAUUUGGGUUGUGUUAUGGUUUAAUUUCUUUAGAGAUCUUUUUUAUUUUUUUUCCCGAGAGGGAAUGGGGAUUUUUUUUUAUUUUAACUUGCUAUGUUUUUGGGCAUAGAGUUGCCUUCUUUGUUUCCUUGGUGGCUAUGAGCUUAUUUGAACACCACAAUGUACAAUUAUUCGAAGGAUCUUGUAGAGAAUCAGUGGAGUUUAAACGAUGAGAACAUGUGUUGAGGGUAAAAUGGAAUGGAAAGAAGAUAUGAACAUCAAUGGAUAACCUGGAAUAGGAUGGCAUCAAUGAAGUUAUGAGAGAGAUCUUAAGUAAAAGAGUAAAGGAUGUUGCAUGAUGGUGUGACAUGUGUGAAUAAGCAAUCAAUGGCAUUAUUUGGGAACUUUUGUUACUAGUUAUGACCAUCAAUUAUUAACUAUUAACUUGUUUCUAAACAGCUCCUAUUUAUUCCAAACGUUUGGGUGGACUGAAGUAGGUUCUAUAGGCUGAUAUUUUCAGUAAUU
rnacentral:misc_RNA from 1 species